rnacentral:rRNA from 1 species
GGGUCAGUAGGUUGGUCGUGCCACCGGUACGUACUGGUCUCACUGAUUCCUCCUUCCUGAAGAACCGUAAUGCCAUUAAUUUGGUGUUGCGGGGAAGCAGGACUGUUACUUUGAAAAAAUUAGAGUGUUUAAAGCAAGCUAACGCUUGAAUACAUUAGCAUGGAAUAAUGGAAUAGGACGAUCGAUCCUAUUUUGUUGGUCUCUAGGAUUGACGUA